GAUGAACGCUGGCGGCGUGCUUAACACAUGCAAGUCGAACGGAAAGGCCCAAGCUUGCUUGGGUACUCGAGUGGCGAACGGGUGAGUAACACGUGGGUGAUCUGCCCUGCACUUCGGGAUAAGCCUGGGAAACUGGGUCUAAUACCGGAUAGGACGAUGGUUUGGAUGCCAUUGUGGAAAGUUUUUUCGGUGUGGGAUGAGCUCGCGGCCUAUCAGCUUGUUGGUGGGGUAAUGGCCUACCAAGGCGUCGACGGGUAGCCGGCCUGAGAGGGUGUACGGCCACAUUGGGACUGAGAUACGGCCCAGACUCCUACGGGAGGCAGCAAGGGGGAAUAUUGCACAAUGGGCGCAAGCCUGAUGCAGCGACGCCGCGUGGGGGAUGACGGCCUUCGGGUUGUAAACUCCUUUCGCUAGGGACGAAGCGUUUUUGUGACGGUACCUGGAGAAGAAGCACCGGCUAACUACGUG
rnacentral:rRNA from 1 species